rnacentral:rRNA from 1 species
GAUGAACGCUGGCGGCGUGCCUAAUACAUGCAAGUCGAGCGAACAGACGAGGAGCUUGCUCCUUUGACGUUAGCGGCGGACGGGUGAGUAACAUGUGGGUAACCUACCUAUAAGACUGGGAUAACUUCGGGAAACCGGAGCUAAUACCGGAUAAUAUUUCGAACCGCAUGGUUCGAUAGUGAAAGAUGGCUUUGCUAUCACUUAUAGAUGGACCUGCGCCGUAUUAGCUAGUUGGUAAGGUAACGGCUUACCAAGGCAACGAUACGUAGCCGACCUGAGAGGGUGAUCGGCCACACUGGAACGGAGACACGGUCCAGACUCCUACGGGAGGCAGCAGUAGGGAAUCUUCCGCAAUGGGCGAAAGCCUGACGGAGCAACGCCGCGUGAGUGAUGAAGGUCUUCGGAUCGUAAAACUCUGUUAUUAGGGAAGAACAAACGUGUAAGUAACUGUGCACGUCUUGACGGUACCUAAUCAGAAAGCCACGGCUAACUACGUG